CGAGUGUCUUGAUCAGCAGAAGUACCCCGGAAAAACCCGCCCGACAUUUUUAAGGGUUUUGAUGAAGGACGAUGUGAAAUAAGGUAAAAUCCGUGUGCGAUUCUGCGAUAAGAGGGAGAGUCGCAGUGCGAGAGCUGAGAGGUAUAUUUGGGAAAUGAACUUGGAGAUUAAGCUACUCUCUCUGGAUUCUCUGGUUGCGCCUCGGCACGUG
rnacentral:misc_RNA from 1 species